UACGAAGGGGGCUAGCGUUGCUCGGAAUCACUGGGCGUAAAGCGCACGUAGGCGGACUCUUAAGUCAGGGGUGAAAUCCUGGAGCUCAACUCCAGAACUGCCUUUGAUACUGAGAGCCUUGAGUCCGGAAGAGGUAAGUGGAACUGCGAGUGUAGAGGUGAAAUUCGUAGAUAUUCGCAAGAACACCGGUGGCGAAGGCGGCCAACUGGACCAUUACUGACGCUGAGGCGCGAAGGCGUGGGGAGCAAACAGGAUUGAGAAACCCUGG
rnacentral:rRNA from 1 species